GACCUUGUAAGGCUAAUCGGUGAGAUACACGAUGUUCGUCUUGAAAACCCUUGUGUCGGUGGUUUGAUUCCGCCCCGGGGCCACCA
rnacentral:tRNA from 1 species